rnacentral:rRNA from 1 species
UAGAGUUUGAUCCUGGCUCAGGAUGAACGCUGGCGGCGUGCUUAACACAUGCAAGUCGAGCGGGAAAUGUCUGAUUGACACUUCGGUAGAAAGGAGACAUGGAGAGCGGCGGACGGGUGAGUAACGCGUAGGCAACCUGCCCUGUACAGAGGGAUAGCCUCGGGAAACCGGGAUUAAAACCUCAUAAUGUGAUGAAUACACCUGUAAUCAUCGCCAAAGAUUUAUCGGUAUGGGAUGGGCCUGCGUCUGAUUAGUUAGUUGGUGGGGUAACGGCUCACCAAGGCAGCGAUCAGUAGCCGACCUGAGAGGGUAAUCGGCCACAUUGGGACUGAGACACGGCCCAGACUCCUACGGGAGGCAGCAGUGAGGAAUAUUGGACAAUGGAUGGAAAUCUGAUCCAGCCAUGCCGCGUGCAGGAAGACGGCCUUAUGGGUUGUAAACUGCUUUUAUACGGGAGCAAUAAGGGUUACGAGUAAUCCGAUGAGAGUACUGUAUGAAUAAGGAUCGGCUAACUCCGUGCCAGCAGCCGCGGUAAUACGGAGGAUCCGAGCGUUAUCCGGAAUUAUUGGGUUUAAAGGGUGCGUAGGCGGCCAUUUAAGUCAGCGGUGAAAUUUUGCAGCUUAACUGUAACAGUGCCGUUGAUACUGUUUGGCUAGGAUUUGGUUGUAGUGUGCGGAAUGUGUGGUGUAGCGGUGAAAUGCUUAGAUAUCACACAGAACACCGAUUGCGAAGGCAGCACACUAAGUCAUUAUUGACGCUGAGGCACGAAAGUGUGGGGAUCAAACAGGAUUAGAUACCCUGGUAGUCCACACUGUAAACGAUGAUAACUCGCUGUCGGCGAUACACAGUCGGUGGCCAAGCGAAAGCAUUAAGUUAUCCACCUGGGGAGUACGACCGCAAGGUUGAAACUCAAAGGAAUAGACGGGGGCCCGCACAAGCGGAGGAACAUGUGGUUUAAUUCGAUGAUACGCGAGGAACCUUACCCGGGCUCGAACGGUGCAUGAAUAUACGAGAGAUUGUAUAGUCCUUCGGGACAUGUAUCGAGGUGCUGCAUGGUUGUCGUCAGCUCGUGCCGUGAGGUGUCGGCUUAAGUGCCAUAACGAGCGCAACCCUCAUCGUUAGUUGCCAUCAGGUCAAGCUGGGGACUCUAACGGGACUGCCAUCGUAAGAUGUGAGGAAGGUGGGGAGGACGUCAAAUCAGCACGGCCCCUACGUCCGGGGGGACACACGUGUUACAAUGGGUGGUACAAAGGGCAGCUACCGGGCGACCGGAUGCCAAUCUCUAAAACCACUCUCAGUUCGGAUCGGAGUGUGCAACUCGACUCCGUGAAGCUGGAUUCGCUAGUAAUCGCGCAUCAGCCACGGCGCGGUGAAUAAAUUCCCGGGCCUUGCACACACCGCCCGUCA